rnacentral:tRNA from 1 species
UCAUUAAAUAACUUAAAGCAAGUAAUGGUCUCUUAAACCACACUAUAAUAACCUAGCAAUUAUUUUUAAUGAA